CCUANGGGUGGCAGCAGUGGGGAAUUUUGCGCAAUGGGGGAAACCCUGACGCAGCGACGCCGCGUGGAGGAUGAAGGUCUUCGGAUUGUAAACUCCUUUUGUCGGGGAAGAUAAUGACGGUACCCGAUGAAUAAGCCACGGCUAACUCUGUGCCAGCAGCCGCGGUAAGACAGAGGUGGCAAGCGUUGUUCGGAAUUACUGGGCUUAAAGGGCGCGUAGGCGGUGGAGUAAGUCUGAGGUGGAAGAUUAGGGCUUAACCCUAAAAUUGCCUUGGAAACUGCAUCACUUGAGUCAGCGAGGGGAUGGCGGAAUUCCAGGUGUAGCGGUGAAAUGCGUAGAUAUCUGGAGGAAGGCCGGUGGCGAAGGCGGCCAUCUGGCGCUGAACUGACGCUGAGGCGCGAAAGCGUGGGGAGCAAACAGGAUUAGAUACCCGANUANUC
rnacentral:rRNA from 1 species